UACGUAGGGGGCAAGCGUUGUCCGGAUUUAUUGGGCGUAAAGAGCGUGUAGGCGGCCGCACAGGUCCGUUGUGAAAACUGGAGGCUCAACCUCCAGACGUCGACGGAAACCGUGUGGCUAGAGUCCGGAAGAGGAGAGUGGAAUUCCUGGUGUAGCGGUGAAAUGCGUAGAUAUCAGGAGGAACACCUGCGGUGUAGACGGCUUACUGGACCAUGACUGACGCUGAGGCACGAAAGCGUGGGGAGCAAACAGG
rnacentral:rRNA from 1 species